rnacentral:rRNA from 1 species
AUUGAACGCUGGCGGCAGGCCUAACACAUGCAAGUCGAGCGAGUGGCGGACGGGUGAGUAAUAUAUGGGGAUCUGCCUGAUAGAGGGGGAUAACUACUGGAAACGGUGGCUAAUACCGCAUACGAUCGGAUGAACCCAUAUGGGAGUAGCUAGUAGGUGGGGGAAAGGCUCACCUAGGCGACGAUCCCUAGCUGGGCUGAGAGGAUGAUCAGCCAAACGGGAACUGAGACACGGUCCAGACUCCUACGGGAGGCAGCAGUGGGGAAUAUUGCACAAUGGGCGCAAGCCUGAUGCAGCCAUGCCGCGUGUAUGAAGAAGGCCUUAGGGUUGUAAAGUACUUUCAGCGGGGAGGCGUUACCCGCAGAAGAAGCACCGGCUAACUCCGUGCCAGCAGCCGCGGUAAUUC